ensembl:lncRNA
UAGAUUUAGUCACAUAUUUAUUACAUAAAUAUAUAGUAAAAUAGACCAGCGACAAUUACCAUAAAAAUAUCUUCCUUUAAAAUCCUGACCAUAAACAAAGAUUUGAGAAUCACACACGGACAUUUACAAACACGCUGAUUGUCUGGACCUUUCAUAAGCAGCCCACCACAAGAACCUGACAUCACACCACCCACUGGACUCUUACUGACGGGUGGGGGGGGGGGGGGGGCUCCGACGAUGGGGCAGGAAAGGGGACACAACGGGGGUACAGGUCCAGGAGGAAAGGGGUGGGGUUCGAGGUGAGGUCGGUUGGUAGUGGUUGUGGUAGGUGUGAUGAUGGUGUGGGUGGUGUGAGGAGAUCACAGUAGAUAAUCGGAGGUUUUUUGUGUGUGUGUGUGUGUGUGAAAGAGAGAGAAAACUUAUAUUUUGCCCACAGCUUGCCUAUGGCUUGCCUAUGUUUGACUAGCUCGUGUUUGUCCCUGUGCUUUGCGGGAAUUAAUCCUGAAUACUGUUUUGUAAAGUCCUUGUAACGGCGACUUCAUCUGAGACAGAGAAACAGACAGUCAGAGCGAGAGAGACAGAGGGGAGUCAGAAAGGGAGGGGGGAGGGAGAGUGAGAAAGGGAGGGGGGAGGGAGAGAAAGUCCCUAGUCAUGGUCCUCUGACUGUAGCCCAUCAAAGGCCACAUGUUUUCCUGUGUACUGUGGCCUCUCUGGCCUCCACCAGCCAGGACAGUCUCACAUCAGGCCUUCCAUCUGAACAGUGUCUCAUGUACGCCACAAUAACACAAAUCCAGAUUGAACCUCAGCAUAAGGUAAUUGUCUGGUUCUUUUCUUUGGCUGCACGGUCUCUUAGUAACCCCCAGAUGUCAUAGCCCGAAGGACAAGUUCAAUGCGGAGGUGUCUUAACAUAGCCUCGGUAACACCUGGCGGUCACAGAUUUCCUCACCCGUGGACCCGUCUGCUGACCUCUUGCCUGACCCCACGAAAGUCAUGACCCCUGAGUGUCCAUGAAGCACCCACUCUGAUAACCUCCCAGCAGUCCUCAGCAAUCACAGUGAUGCAACGAACCCAGAUCAAAGAGUAACACAAAGUAUACCUAAAUGCAUGACUGAAUAGUAGUAGUAUUAGUUGUAAUAUGAGUAGUAAUAGUAAUAGCUUUUCUUUCAUAUGCUUCGACAGAUGUACCGCUGGCUGAAGAUUUUAUGUAUCACUAAUCAAAAAAACACGGAGCAUUUGCCUGACGGACGUGUCAAACUACUUUCUUGGAAAAAAUUACAAUAGAAAAUGGAAAACAAAAUUCCCCAUGAAGACACAAAUGACUGGAACCAAAAAAAGGACAACUGAACCCACUGGUAUUGAGGCUCACCCCUGUGUCUUUGCAUUGUUCUAAUUUGGUAAGAUAAUAAAACCCAUAGCUUUGAAUCAGGUGUAUUGAAAUGUUCCACCAAAAUAAUCAAAUACGGAAAUAUGGAUGGAUUACAAACGUUCAUGUGAUAGACGAUGCCACAAAGGUCACUCGUCUGUAAAAAAAAUUUUUUUAAAAUAAUAAUCCCAGGACUGGAGAACAGAGGACACACAUUAGUGGGAGGAAACUACGGACACAAUAAGACUUGCUUGCUUCUGCGUGGAACAUCUGUGUAAGAAUAUUCAAUUCUGUUUUCAAAGCUAGCUCAUGAAGAGCCUAUUUCUGGCUUGCAUGCUAAACAAUGGCUGUGGCAGAGCAUUGGUGAAUGGGAUUGCAGGGUGAUGUGUGCCAGGAGGACAGAGCCAUGGGAAACCCAGGAGGCAAGUUUAAAGAUGGACAAGGGAAGAGGAGGGGUUAAGAAAAGCACCCUUUGAGGCCUCACUUUCAAACCUGAGCAGUCCCCAUAUCAAAUCUAUUUUCAACGAGACAAACAUUGCAUAUGUACUUACACAUAUUAAUAAACAAUCCUCUAAUAGAUUUUCAUCUUCUAAUUAGCAUACAUUCCUUGCUGUCCUGGCAUAUCAUUUUAUGGAGCACUUUUUACAAAGAUAUCUCCACAAUUAGUCUUCUCGAUAGAAAUUGUACACACAUUGGCGGUCCAAGCAGCGUAAAGCCCACCGACCAAAAUAAUCAACUCAAAAGCGCUAGAAAGGGGCUAACUAUAAGUGCUAGAAAUGUACUGGCAAAACGUGGACAAGUAGCGGAUUCAAUACAGGAAGAUCUGCUGAAUCACCAAAGGGACUGCUUCACCAGAUCACAUGUUACAUUACACAGAUGUAUGUGUGCAAUACAGGAAGUGGGACAUAGUGCAGGUCAAGGGGUUCAAUCUGCCAGAGAGUCAUAGUGCUUUUUAAUGGGUGGAGUCAUGUGUGUACUCUUCGUCAACUACCCCACCCAAAACACACACACACACACUCUAACCCAUUUUGUAGUUGCGUAGUUAUCAUGCCAAUCUGGUUCUGAAUUCAAGAGUUUUUAUCUUGGGUCAGAAACGCCUUUGUGGCUAUAGUCAAGUUCUGUGACAAUACUCUAACGAUACCUGAGCCAGAAAAGACAAGCUAACAUCCAAUAACAUAGGCCAGAAUGGACAAAGCUAACAUCCAAUAACAUAGGCCUGUGUUUCCCAAAAGAUCCUAAUGACAUGCAUUUUCUCGAAGCAAACCAAUGUAUGUCCACACAAAUCAAACCCGUGAACGUCCACACAACUCAAACCCGUGAAUGCUCACAUUAACCGAAACACUGAACUUCUACGCAAAUCGUCAAACAGUUUCACAGUGAGAAUUGGUGUUGACUCAAGGAGCCCUGGGGAUCAAGUAAACCCUGGACAUCCUUAAGGAAUCAUUGUUAUCCGUUGGGUCAUAUUUGCACCUUUGGUUAGCUGAGCGGUUCUUGGCAGCAGCAUUUUGGAGGCCCAAUGCCCCCUUUGGCAUUAGAUAAUGUUUUUGGCAGUGUUAAAGUUAAUCUUUGGGUAACUUAAAGUUACCUUCUUAUCAUAACCUUGAAUUUCAAUAGAUACUUGUCAAAAUGCACAUUUAGCAAGAAACCUGCAAAAGCAUUGAACCUACACUUGAAAGUAAAGGAAGUCUUCUCACAGUCUCAUAUGCUUGGAUGUGAGUUCUGAAGUUAGCAGAUUUAAAAUGCGAUUACUCAGUUCACCACUAGAUGGCAAUAAAGAGCAAAAGCACUAUAUUCCUCCCUGUAUGGGAAGACAUUGGGCACAGCACACACGGGCUAAUUGAGUCUCAGUGACUGACACCACAAAUGCUGAUGUACUACCAAAUUUCUAAAUUGCAUCUUGUAAAAUAACAAAUUUUCAACUGUCAACUAUAAGCAGAGACUCCAACUAAGUUUUGUAGGAUAAUCGACCAGAAAGCCACGCCUCCAAUAAACCACGCCUCCAAUCUGAUCAACAUUAUAUUACUAACAACAUGCCAAAUUGAACCCCUCCCGUUUGAACCUUUUCACAGUGGAUCUUUCCAGGGGGGUUCCCGAAGGAACCUAUCUGAACUGGAAAGGUUCUGCCAGUGUGGCAACCUAAAAGGUUCUUCCAGGCACCUUUAACUUCUAAAAGUGAAGAGAAGGAACACAAGGCUCAAUCAACAAGGGAGCCAUUUUAUACCCCGCUCUGAAAACAGUGCCAAAAACAAGAGAACCCAGGAUACAUGUAACAGUAUCAACAAUCUGGUUUCCAUUUGCUGAAAGUCAUUCCAGCUGAGCCACUUUAAAGCCUGACUACACAGCUCACUACACCCCCCCAACCCUCCACCAAAACCUAUUGAACACAUUAUUGGUUACAUUCUUCAAGGGCAAUAGUAAUGGAAGUGUAUGACAGGGCUCUGUUUUACAGAAACCCGUCUCGUACCGUGGCCUCAAAAGAUGCUUAGGGAGUUGGGUGGAACGAAGCAAGUCGGUGCUUAGUGGGUACAGCAAGGCUUCAGGACACCGACGCAAACAGAGGGACACAGACACAAACACACGGACACAGACACAAACAGACAGACACACACAGUGUACAACACAAUGGUGAGCUAUGCCACGCCUCCUGUGUAUUGGACAACGACUAAGCACACUUAAAUAGAAUAGACCUGUGGCCAGACGAGCAAAGCUUUACCUCAGAUGGUGAAUUGAAUGGAAGCCAUGCAAGUGGGUUAGACAAACUUGUGGGGGAGCUUAAUAUUGCUCCGGGUACUUUAGCUGUGAGGUGUAAACCCGCGCACACAGGGACAUCAAGGAGGAAUCCACAGCCUGCGAUGGACGCAAUUAAAUCUGCUCGUUGUGUGUGUUUACGUGUGGCAAGCAAAUGUGGCGUCUGAUUGCUUUGGUAUAAUUGGUUGUCUGGGGACGGGACUGUGGCCCAAGUUCAGAGGGCUCCUCCGUAAGUGUUCAACGUGCUAUCAAGAGCAUUUAUCAGCGAACACGCUAACACACACACCAGCACACACAUAUGAACACAGGCAGACGGACAGUCCAGCAUACACAGUAAUAUUACGAUGUGUUCUGAGGGGGAUAGCACUAAGAGAAAGCAUAAGGAGGAACAAAUGGAAAACCACAGACUGGACGGGAAUGCAGGACAGGCGAAACAUACUCUCUCCACCCGGAGGGAGCAAAAAAGAGGAGCUAACAAUUGUGGUUUAUCUAUCGUUUGUCAUCGUUUAUUAAGAAAAUGUCCCUUUUACCUGAGAGAAUCCUUCAAUAGCCUUCUUACUUAGUCGGCUUAACAAAUGUGUGUCUCUGGGUCUGCGCAGGUGUUGAGUGGGUCAGUGUUGUCUAGCCAACGCUCUCACGGGUCGGCACAUGUUAGAUCCAGCCAUGCCACAUUCAUUCUCUCACAGUCUAUCACCUAUUAGGAUCUGACAGGAUCAGGUGAACUAUGGCACUACUCAAAUAUUGCACUUGUUUUCAAAACUCAUCCAGAAACAGCUGUCACAAUUUCACUGCCAACAGAGGUGUCUUUGUGGCUACAGCAACAUCAAUAGACACAGAGGUGUCUUCGUGGCUACAGCAACAUCAAUAGACACAGAGGUGUCUUCGUGGCUUCAGCGGUUCCAUUCAUUCUAAGUAAUAGUUCAAAUUGUGCAUGUGCUAUAUGGCCGUUAUUCGGUGGAAUCCACGUUAACUUUUUUCUCUAUUUCAACCAUUAUUCGCUUCUAUAUUAUAUUUUCCUGACUGACUAAAGGCAACUGAGAGUGCAUCUCCUGUAAACGCUGCCAUAUCAGCGCCAAGCUCUUCCUUUGUGGCGACUCGAUUUGUUAAUGGAUUUGCUCAGUGCAUUCGCUCGUGUGUCCGAGCUACGGUGUGGGGCCUUUGACCUCCAGCCGUCGAGAGUUGAGAGGUGACCCUGCCAUGCACGCGUAACUUGGAAGUCACCAAAGGGCCUGACCUAUCACCCAGGGGGCACCGUGAGGUCUUGGGAUCUAAUUCAUUUGGCCACUGGAUGAAACAUUUCAGUGUAAAUCUAUGCAAGCGUAUAUUUGUUUCACUACAAAAGAAAAAUAUACAAAAUGUAGGACCUCAUCCGAGGCUGCACUGGCUAUGUAAGGUGCAGUAGCACCUAAUCCACCCACUGAACCAUGACAGUGUUGUAUCACGAAGACACGCACACAUACGCGCACAGACAAACAGAGACACACGCUGAUUCCGGAUCAGUUUACAGCAGCACAACUAUCCCAUCUUUUAUGAAAUAAACAGUGCCCUCCUAACUCCGCUUGGCCUUUUUGCAAUCUCAAUGGGGGUGAACUUACUGGACCCGCGGGGCCACCAGCUGGGUCGUGGUUUGAGUCCGUUGUGGGUUGGCUGAGUUGGCGGACCUUAACCUCAGGCCGCACAGAGAAGUAAGAAGCUUUGCUCUCAGAUUGAAAAGGACCACUUGGAUUCAUGCAGUUUAAUUGGGUGGGGGAACCGGAAAGGUUGAGCCUGCUGUAAUAAAUCAUGACCACUAGGCCGCCUCCUAAUAAAGAGAGCACACUUCUGGAGGGGAAUUGCAUAGACAAUUUGCUACUUGCGAAUCUCCUGUUGUCACGAAGAAAACUCUACAUUUGGCGUAGGUGGAACAAACAAUGCCCCCCAAACAAACGCUAAAAGAUCUAAGACAAUAACCUCCCUCAUGACAUGUUGACCUGUUGGCCUGAACCAUGAUAAAAAUGUUGACGAAAGGACAGCGGGGGUUCUAUUACAUUGGCUUCUCCCAAUUAGGAUGUACUGGCUGCUAGCCGGUGGCUUGGUUAAAUUAAAACGUAAUGGCAGCUAGCUUGGUUAAAGGCUGGAGAGCCCAAUCUGCUGACGGGGGGGGCACGUUGUAGCCAUGACUACAAUUUUGUUACAUUCUGUGUGGAUGGCUGGGUAUCUCUUAGCAAAGAACAGGAGGCACAGGGUUGAGUGAUAAUUGUCACGGGGGGGGGGGGGAUUGGGGGGGGGCACUUUUAAAUAUGUAUUGGCAUGCGCAUGAGUGCACACACAAGCACACAUACAGACGUAUGAAGUGUUAAUAUAUGUUGCAUUUCUUUCUCUUAUUUUACAAGACGGUGGGACGGAGAACGUGGCACGGUGAUGCCCAAGCCUCCACAUCCAGUUUUGUGAGUGUUGCAUAUGAUUUUACAUAUACAGGUUUGUCUUUUCAUAUUUCAUUUUUUUUUUUUUCUUUUCGUAUUUACAUCCUUGGUUACGGCCAAAAUAGAAAAAAAAACAAACAAACAAACAAACAAACAAGAAGAACAGUAUUUUUAAAAGAUAAUAAAAAAAACAAAAAAACAACAACGUUGUAUUGCACCGUGCAGAUGGGCAAUAUUACUCGGUUGGUUUGUGUGUAACUGUCCACUGUCCAUUCUGCUGGUGAGCGGAAGUGAGGCUGUGGAUGCGGGACUCCGCCCCGCCCUGUCACUUACAUUCAAUACCAUAGUAUCUGCAAUAGACUCCGCCUCCCACCCGAAGCUCUGGGCCAUUCACAUUUGACUUCCCUAUAUAUAUUUAUAUAUAGUCGUGGAUACACCUGGGCGUGGCCAAUUUUACUGAUGUCAUGUCGUAUCCAUACUCCUCUUAGAACCAAUAUAAUAGGUCGAGAGCGCCCAAAGCUUUAGGGUAUGUUCGCACACGGGCAUGUAUACUGUACACCCUAAUGUGCAGGCGUCUACGCGCUUCCUGGUGUGGCUGCAGAGCAUCCCUCUUCCCACGUUCCUUUGAGUUUUGUGUUGCGUGAGGUAUGAGAAGAUUGUGUUUCAAUUUUUUUUCUUGUAUUUCCUUUUUUGAGUUGCAUUCUUUUUCAGUCCUCUUUCAUAAAAAAAAAAAAAAAAAA